GGAUCUUCUCCGAUUUCCUUUUGGGCCGUACCAAUUUGAAUUUUGAACUAGCUUGUGCGCCUCCUGGAGCCGAUGUAGCAAUGGAUACUCCAGUGUUUGGCCAUCAGCAGCCACAGUACUAGAGUAUGCAUGGGUAUAUUUUCGUAUGGGUAUGAUGGCAGGGAAGGGCAAACCUGUGAACAGGUUCCCUGUCGAUGCUGCAGAGGGCGGCAGACCUGCACGGUGCACAACUGUCAGCUGUUUGUUGCAGCAUGCGCUCCGGGUCGAGAUACCAUACCAGUGCAGGUUAUGUUGCUUGGGGAUGGGGACACACUACUCUUGUUGGACUUAUGUGAUUGCAACAACCGAGCUAGCAUGGAGAGGCAACUAUAGGGAGGUACGCAGAGUGAAACACCUUUGGUUGAACGGGGUGGCGCAAGAUCUUCUCUAGGCAAUUUCUUCCUCUGCAACACCAACGGCGUGGCGAUCCCUACCAGCUGCAAGAUGUCCCGGAGACUGGAUGGAUCCUCAGCAGCGAGCCUGGAUGCAGCUGUGAGGCUGGCUGUGACGAAGCAGGAGAGCAGUUGACUCUGCAGGCUUGCUCGUACUACCGCGUUCAUCAUGACAUGCAUGUCGAUGCCCUGUCUAGAGAUCGAUCGACCUGAUGUGUGAAGGUGGAGAGCAGGGGACGAGGGCGAGUAAAGGCGACAAUAGUACGUACCUUCACUGUGUCUCCGGUUGCCAAAUAAUAAAUAGAUUACAGUAGGAAGAACACCGCUCUACAUGAAACAAAGAUAAACGGAUUAUCUA